rnacentral:rRNA from 1 species
GACGAACGCUGGCGGCGUGCUUAACACAUGCAAGUUGAACGGUGAAGCGAGUGCUUGCACUCGUGGAUCAGUGGCGAACGGGUGAGUAACACGUGAGUAACCUGCCCAUCACUCUGGGAUAAGCACUGGAAACGGUGUCUAAUACUGGAUACGACCAACCCUUGCAUGGGGUGUUGGUGGAAAGAUUUAUCGGUGAUGGAUGGACUCGCGGCCUAUCAGCUUGUUGGCGGGGUAAUGGCCCACCAAGGCGACGACGGGUAGCCGGCCUGAGAGGGUGACCGGCCACACUGGGACUGAGACACGGCCCAGACUCCUACGGGAGGCAGCAGUGGGGAAUAUUGCACAAUGGGCGAAAGCCUGAUGCAGCGACGCCGCGUGAGGGAUGACGGCCUUCGGGUUGUAAACCUCUUUCAGCAGGGAAGAAGCGAAAGUGACGGUACCUGCAGAAGAAGCACCGGCUAACUACGUG